rnacentral:rRNA from 1 species
CGAAAGGGAAACGCCCGGUCCCAUUCCGAACCCGGAAGCUAAGCCUUUCAGCGCCGAUGGUACUGCACUGGAGACGGUGUGGGAGAGUAGGACGCAGC